AUUAGAUACCCUGGUAGUCCACACAGUAAACGAUGAAUACUCGCUGUUUGCGAUAUACUGCAAGCGGCCAAGCGAAAGCAUUAAGUAUUCCACCUGGGGAGUACGCCGGCAACGGUGAAACUCAAAGGAAUUGACGGGGGCCCGCACAAGCGGAGGAACAUGUGGUUUAAUUCGAUGAUACGCGAGGAACCUUACCCGGGCUUAAAUUGCACCUGAAUAAUGUGGAAACAUGUUAGCCGUAAGGCAGGUGUGAAGGUGCUGCAUGGUUGUCGUCAGCUCGUGCCGUGAGGUGUCGGCUUAAGUGCCAUAACGAGCGCAACCCUUAUCUUCAGUUACUAACAGGUCAUGCUGAGGACUCUGGAGAGACUGCCGUCGUAAGAUGUGAGGAAGGUGGGGAUGACGUCAAAUCAGCACGGCCCUUACGUCCGGGGCUACACACGUGUUACAAUGGGAGGUACAGAAGGCCGCUACCUGGCGACAGGAUGCCAAUCCCCAAAACCUCUCUCAGUUCGGAUCGAAGUCUGCAACCCGACUUCGUGAAGCUGGAUUCGCUAGUAAUCGCGCAUCAGCCAUGGCGCGGUGAAUACGUUCCCGGGCCUUGUACACACCGCCCGUCAAGCCAUGAAAGCCGGGGGUACCUGAAGUACGUAACCGCAAGGAUCGUCCUAGGGUAAAACUGGUAAUUGGGGCUAAGUCGUAACAGGGUAUCAAGGGCGAAUUCGUU
rnacentral:rRNA from 1 species